rnacentral:rRNA from 1 species
UAGUGGCGAACGGGUGAGUAACACGUGGGCAAUCUGCCCUUCACUCUGGGACAAGCCCUGGAAACGGGGUCUAAUACCGGAUAUGAGCCUGGGAGGCAUCUCCCGGGUUGUAAAGCUCCGGCGGUGAAGGAUGAGCCCGCGGCCUAUCAGCUUGUUGGUGAGGUAAUGGCUCACCAAGGCGACGACGGGUAGCCGGCCUGAGAGGGCGACCGGCCACACUGGGACUGAGACACGGCCCAGACUCCUACGGGAGGCAGCAGUGGGGAAUAUUGCACAAUGGGCGAAAGCCUGAUGCAGCGACGCCGCGUGAGGGAUGACGGCCUUCGGGUUGUAAACCUCUUUCAGCAGGGAAGAAGCGAAAGUGACGGUACCUGCAGAAGAAGCGCCGGCUAACUACGUGCCAGCAGCCGCGGUAAUACGUAGGGCGCAAGCGUUGUCCGGAAUUAUUGGGCGUAAAGAGCUCGUAGGCGGCUUGUCACGUCGAUUGUGAAAGCCCGAGGCUUAACCUCGGGUCUGCAGUCGAUACGGGCUAGCUAGAGUGUGGUAGGGGAGAUCGGAUUUCCU